rnacentral:rRNA from 1 species
ACGCUCGACACCUACGGGAGGCCGCAGUCGGGAAUAUUGCGCAAUGGAGGAAACUCUGACGCAGUGACGCCGCGUAUGGGAAGAAGGUUUUCGGAUUGUAAACCAUUUUAGACAAGGAAGAAACAAGACAGUACUUGUAGAAUAAGCUCCGGCUAACUACGUGCCAGCAGCCGCGGUAAUCUGAGCGGGCUGGCAAGGC